rnacentral:rRNA from 1 species
CCUACGGGGGGCAGCAGUGAGGAAUAUUGGUCAAUGGACGAGAGUCUGAACCAGCCAAGUAGCGUGAAGGAUGACUGCCCUAUGGGUUGUAAAAUUCUUUUAUAUGGGAAUAAAAUGUUCCACGUGUGGGAUUUUGUAUGUACCAUAUGAAUAAGGAUCGGCUAACUCCGUGCCAGCAGCCGCGGUAAUACGGAGGAUCCGAGCUUUAUCCGGAUUUAUUGGGUUUAAAGGGAGCGUAGGUGGAUUGUUAAGUCAGUUGUGAAAGUUUGCGGCUCAACCGUAAAAUUGCAGUUGAAACUGGCAGUCUGGAGUACAGAAGCGGUGGGCGGAAUGCGUGGUGUAGCGGUGAAAUGCUUAGAUAUCACGAAGAACUCCGAUUGCGAAGGCAGCUCACUGGACUGCAACUGACACUGAGGCUCGAAAGUGUGGGUAUCAAACAGGAUUAGAUACCCUUGUAGUC